UUUCCACCUGAAAGUAUGUUGCUUACCAAAGGUUCUAUACCAAUAACCUGAUAAAUGCAAAUGUCAAAUGGGAAACUAGCAUAAAAAUGGAAAAGAAUGAACUCUUUCUUUCAAGUUUCAACACAUCCUACUAUCACACAGGACAAUCAAUCUGGGCAUACAAUUGGUCAACCAGCAUGUGAAAUGGGCAGAAAAAUAGAAAUAGAACAGCCAUACACAGAGUUGGCAAACCUUAACAAGAAACAAGUACCUCAAUGUUGGGAUUCUUCUCCUUAAGGAACUGACCAACUCCAGAAAUAGUUCCACCAGUUCCAAUACCUGCA
rnacentral:misc_RNA from 1 species